AGAACGAACGCUGGCGGCAUGCCUAACACAUGCAAGUCGAACGAGACCUUCGGGUCUAGUGGCGCACGGGUGCGUAACGCGUGGGAAUCUGCCCUUGGGUUCGGGAUAACAGUUGGAAACGACUGCUAAUGCCGGAUGAUGUCUUCGGACCAAAGAUUUAUCGCCCAGGGAUGAGCCCGCGUCGGAUUAGCUAGUUGGUAGGGUAAAAGCCUACCAAGGCGACGAUCCGUAGCUGGUCUGAGAGGAUGAUCAGCCACACUGGGACUGAGACACGGCCCAGACUCCUACGGGAGGCAGCAGUGGGGAAUAUUGGACAAUGGGCGAAAGCCUGAUCCAGCAAUGCCGCGUGAGUGAUGAAGGCCCUAGGUUGUAAAGCUCUUUACCCGGGAUGAUAAUGACAGUACCGGAGAAUAACGCCCGGCUAACGUCCGUGCCAGCAGCCGAC
rnacentral:rRNA from 1 species